rnacentral:rRNA from 1 species
GCCCCCCGAAUUGUGGUCUAGAAAGGCGCCAUCGGCCAUUCGCGUCGCCCAAAUCCCUUGGAACAGGGUAUCGGAGAAGGUGAGAAUCCUGUGCCGUGGCGUAGAAUGGCCGCACGAUGCGUCCUUGUCGAGUCGGGUUGCUUGGGAUUGCAGCUUGAAGUGGGUGGUAAAUUCCAUCUAAAGCUAAAUACUGGCGAGAGACCGAUAGCGAACAAGUACCGUGAGGGAAAGAUGCAAAGAACUUUGAAAAGAGAGUCAAAGAGUGCUUGAAAUUGGCAGGAGGAAACCCGGUUGUGCCCCGUGUCGCCGCAUCGACUCAGCCUUGUGUGUGCCUUUUGUCGACCGCAAGGCGGCUUUGGUAACCUGCUUGGUGCACUUUGGUGUGGCGGGUCAGCCGCCGCUGCGGCGUUGGGAGAGUCCACUUGCCGAGGCUUCGGUAAGGCUUGUGGCGCGCCAACUCUGCGGCGUCGGCUGACGUAAGGGGCACCACCGACCCGUCUAGAAACACGGACCAAGGAGUCUGACACGUGUGCGAGUACCCGGGUGGCAAUCCCGCGUGCGCAAUGAAAGUGAAGGGCAUGCCCUGCCAACCGACCUUGAUCUUCUGUGAAGGGUUUGAGUGGAGCACGUGUGUCGGGACCCGAAAGAUGGUGAACUAUGCCUGAGGAGGGUGAAGCCAGAGGAAACUCUGGUGGAGGCUCGUAGCGAUACUGACGUGCAAAUCGUUCGUCGAACUUGGGUAUAGGGGCGAAAGACUAAUCGAACCAUCUAGUAGCUGGUUCCCUCCGAAGUUUCCCUCAGGAUAGCUUGAGCGCCUUGUACGGUUUUGU